rnacentral:rRNA from 1 species
AUUGAACGCUGGCGGCAUGCUUUACACAUGCAAGUCGAACGGCAGCACGGGCUUCGGCCUGGUGGCGAGUGGCGAACGGGUGAGUAAUGCAUCGGAACGUACCGUGUAAUGGGGGGAUAACGUAGCGAAAGUUACGCUAAUACCGCAUACGCCCUGAGGGGGAAAGUGGGGGACCGCAAGGCCUCACGUUAUACGAGCGGCCGAUGUCGGAUUAGCUAGUUGGUGGGGUAAAGGCCUACCAAGGCGACGAUCCGUAGCGGGUCUGAGAGGAUGAUCCGCCACACUGGGACUGAGACACGGCCCAGACUCCUACGGGAGGCAGCAGUGGGGAAUUUUGGACAAUGGGCGCAAGCCUGAUCCAGCCAUGCCGCGUGAGUGAAGAAGGCCU